rnacentral:rRNA from 1 species
GACGAACGCUGGCGGCGUGCUUAACACAUGCAAGUCGAACGGAAAGGCCCUGCUUUUGUGGGGUGCUCGAGUGGCGAACGGGUGAGUAACACGUGAGUAACCUGCCCUUGACUUUGGGAUAACUUCAGGAAACUGGGGCUAAUACCGGAUAGGAGCUCCUGCUGCAUGGUGGGGGUUGGAAAGUUUCGGCGGUUGGGGAUGGACUCGCGGCUUAUCAGCUUGUUGGUGGGGUAGUGGCUUACCAAGGCUUUGACGGGUAGCCGGCCUGAGAGGGUGACCGGCGACAAUGGGCCUGAGAUACGGAGCAGUAGGCAACGGGAGGCAGCGGUGGGGAAUAUGACACAGUAGGGGGAAGCGUGUUGCAGCAACGUCGCGAGCGGGAUGACGGCCUUCGAGUUGUGAACCGAUUUCGACUGUGACGAGGCGUGAGUGACGGUAAUGGGUAAAGAAGCACCGGCUAACUACGUG